UACGUAGGGCGCAAGCGUUGUCCGGAAUUAUUGGGCGUAAAGAGCUCGUAGGCGGUUUGUCGCGUCUGUCGUGAAAGCUUGGGGCUUAACCCCGGGUCUGCAUCCGAUACGGGCAGGCUAGAGUGUGGUAGGGGAGAUCGGAAUUCCUGGUGUAGCGGUGAAAUGCGCAGAUAUCAGGAGGAACACCGGUGGCGAAGGCGGAUCUCUGGGCCAUUACUGACGCUGAGGAGCGAAAGCGUGGGGAGCGAACAGG
rnacentral:rRNA from 1 species